rnacentral:rRNA from 1 species
AUUGAACGCUGGCGGCAGGCCUAACACAUGCAAGUCGAACGAGUGGCGGACGGGUGAGUAAUGUCUGGGAAACUGCCCGAUGGAGGGGGAUAACUACUGGAAACGGUAGCUAAUACCGCAUACCAUCGGAUCUGCCCAGAUGGGAUUAGCUAGUUGGUGGGGUAACGGCUCACCUAGGCAACGAUCCCUAGCUGGUCUGAGAGGAUGACCAGCCACACUGGAACUGAGACACGGUCCAGACUCCUACGGGAGGCAGCAGUGGGGAAUAUUGCACAAUGGGCGAAAGCCUGAUGCAGCCAUGCCGCGUGUAUGAAGAAGGCCUUCGGGUUGUAAAGUACUUUCAGCGGGGAGGCGUUACUCGCAGAAGAAGCACCGGCUAACUCCGUGCCAGCAGCCGCGGUAAUAC